rnacentral:rRNA from 1 species
GCCUAAACAUGCAAGUCGAGCGGUAACAGAGAGGUGCUUGCUUCUUUGCUGACGAGCGGCGGACGGGUGAGUAAUGCUUGGGAACAUGCCUUGAGGUGGGGGACAACAGUUGGAAACGACUGCUAAUACCGCAUAAUGUCUACGGACCAAAGGGGGCUUCGGCUCUCGCCUUUAGAUUGGCCCAAGUGGGAUUAGCUAGUUGGUGAGGUAAUGGCUCACCAAGGCGACGAUCCCUAGCUGGUUUGAGAGGAUGAUCAGCCACACUGGGACUGAGACACGGCCCAGACUCCUACGGGAGGCAGCAGUGGGGAAUAUUGCACAAUGGGCGCAAGCCUGAUGCAGCCAUGCCGCGUGUGUGAAGAAGGCCUUCGGGUUGUAAAGCACUUUCAGUCAGGAGGAAAGGUUAGUAGUUAAUACCUGCUAGCUGUGACGUUACUGACAGAAGAAGCACCGGCUAACUCCGUGCCAGCAGCCGCGGUAAUACGGAGGGUGCGAGCGUUAAUCGGAAUUACUGGGCGUAAAGCGUACGCAGGCGGUUUGUUAAGCGAGAUGUGAAAGCCCCGGGCUCAACCUGGGAACUGCAUUUCGAACUGGCAAACUAGAGUGUGAUAGAGGGUGGUAGAAUUUCAGGUGUAGCGGUGAAAUGCGUAGAGAUCUGAAGGAAUACCGAUGGCGAAGGCAGCCACCUGGGUCAACACUGACGCUCAUGUACGAAAGCGUGGGGAGCAAACGGGAUUAGAUACCCCGGUAGUCCACGCCGUAAACGAUGUCUACUAGAAGCUCGGA